rnacentral:tRNA from 1 species
AAAAACUUAGGAUAAAAUAAACCAAAAGCCUUCAAAGCUUAAAAUAAGGGUGCAACCCCCCUAGUUUUU